CCUACGGGUGGCUGCAGUGAGGAAUAUUGGUCAAUGGGCGUAAGCCUGAACCAGCCAAGUCGCGUGAGGGAUGAAGGUUCUAUGGAUUGUAAACCUCUUUUAUAAGGGAAUAAAGUGCGGGACGUGUCCCGGUUUGUAUGUACCUUAUGAAUAAGGAUCGGCUAACUCCGUGCCAGCAGCCGCGGUAAUACGGAGGAUCCGAGCGUUAUCCGGAUUUAUUGGGUUUAAAGGGUGCGUAGGCGGCCUGUUAAGUCAGCGGUGAAAGUCUGUGGCUCAACCAGAGAAUUGCCGUUGAAACUGGGAGGCUUGAGUAUGUUUGAGGCAGGCGGAAUGCGUGGUGUAGCGGUGAAAUGCUUAGAUAUCACGCAGAACCCCGAUUGCGAAGGCAGCCUACCAAGCCAUGACUGACGCUGAUGCACGAAAGCGUGGGGAUCAAACAGGAUUAGAUACCCCAGUAGUC
rnacentral:rRNA from 1 species